GAUGAACGCUGGCGGCGUGCCUAAUACAUGCAAGUCGAGCGAACAGAUAAGGAGCUUGCUCCUUUGAAGUUAGCGGCGGACGGGUGAGUAACACGUGGGUAACCUACCUAUAAGACUGGGAUAACUUCGGGAAACCGGAGCUAAUACCGGAUAACAUUUAGAACCGCAUGGUUCUAAAGUGAAAGAUGGUUUUGCUAUCACUUAUAGAUGGACCCGCGCCGUAUUAGCUAGUUGGUAAGGUGACGGCUUACCAAGGCGACGAUACGUAGCCGACCUGAGAGGGUGAUCGGCCACACUGGAACUGAGACACGGUCCAGACUCCUACGGGAGGCAGCAGUAGGGAAUCUUCCGCAAUGGGCGAAAGCCUGACGGAGCAACGCCGCGUGAGUGAUGAAGGGUUUCGGCUCGUAAAACUCUGUUAUUAGGGAAGAACAAAUGUGUAAGUAACUGUGCACAUCUUGACGGUACCUAAUCAGAAAGCCACGGCUAACUACGUG
rnacentral:rRNA from 1 species